rnacentral:tRNA from 1 species
UGGGGCGUAGCCAAGCGGUAAGGCAGGGGCCUUUGGAGCCUCGAUCGAUGGUUCGAAUCCAUCCGCCCCAG